rnacentral:tRNA from 1 species
CAGAAAAUAGUUUAUAAAAAAUAAUAGUUUUGGAGAUUAUAGAAGUUUUGGCUUUUCUGA